rnacentral:rRNA from 1 species
UAGUCGAUUCGAUCGAGCUAUCAUGCAGUCGAGGGGCAGCGGGGGUAGCAAUACCUGCCGGCGACCGGCAAACGGGUGAGGAGCACGUACGCAACCUUCCUUCAAGCGGGGGAUAGCCCGGAGAAAUCCGGAUUAAUACCCCAUAGGAUUGUGGAUCGGCAUCGAUCAGCAAUUAAAGAUUUAUCACUUGAAGAUGGGCGUGCGUCUGAUUAGGUAGUUGGUGAGGUAACGGCUCACCAAGCCGACGAUCAGUAACUGGCGUGAGAGCGCGACCAGUCACACGGGCACUGAGACACGGGCCCGACUCCUACGGGAGGCAGCAGUAAGGAAUAUUGGUCAAUGGACGCAAGUCUGAACCAGCCAUGCCGCGUGGAGGAUGAAGGUCCUCUGGAUUGUAAACUUCUUUUAUCUGGGAAGAAAUGGUUGCUUUCUAGCGAUCUUGACGGUACCAGAUGAAUAAGCACCGGCUAACUCCGUGCCAGCAGCCGCGGUAAUACGGAGGGUGCAAGCGUUAUCCGGAUUCACUGGGUUUAAAGGGUGCGUAGGCGGAACAGAAAGUCCGUUGUGAAAUCUCCCAGCUUAACUCGGAAAUUGCGGUGGAUACUAUUGUUCUUGAAUACUGUUGAGGGUAGCGGAAUAUGUCAUGUAGCGGUGAAAUGCGUAGAUAUGACAUAUAACACCAAUUGCGAAAGCAGCUGGCUUAACAGAUAUUGACGCUGAAGCACCAAAGCGUGGGGGAUCAAACAAGGAUAGAUACCCUGGGAGUCCACGCCCUAAACGAUGAAUACUCCACAUUUGCGAUACACACACGUGUCUGAGCGAAAGCAUUAAUAAUCCACCUGGGAAGACGACCGCCCGGUUGAACUCAAAGGAAUGACGGGGGUCCGCACAACCGUGGAGCAUGUGGUUUAUUCG